rnacentral:rRNA from 1 species
ACUACGGGUGGCAGCAGUGGGGAAUAUUGGGCAAUGGGCGCAAGCCUGACCCAGCAACGCCGCGUGAAGGAAGAAGGCUUUCGGGUUGUAAACUUCUUUUCUCAGGGACGAAGCAAGUGACGGUACCUGAGGAAUAAGUCACGGCUAACUACGUGCCAGCAGCCGCGGUAAUACGUAGGUGGCAAGCGUUAUCCGGAUUUACUGGGUGUAAAGGGCGUGUAGGCGGGAAAGCAAGUCAGAUGUGAAAACCAUGGGCUCAACCUGUGGCCUGCAUUUGAAACUGUUUUUCUUGAGUACUGGAGAGGCAGACGGAAUUCCUAGUGUAGCGGUGAAAUGCGUAGAUAUUAGGAGGAACACCAGUGGCGAAGGCGGUCUGCUGGACAGCAACUGACGCUGAGGCGCGAAAGCGUGGGGAGCAAACAGGAUUAGAUACCCUGGUAGUC